CUAGAGACCACCCUCAUUUCCCCCAUCUCCUCUCUGAGCUUAAACAAGCCGCUCCCAAACCCCUCACUCUCACCGGCCAGCGGCGCCAUUCCAAACUCCAUCAAACUCACACCCUAUACCCCUCAUCUCACCCCCAUUCAUGAUACACAAUCAAUUUUUCCAAAACCCCUACCGAAUCCUUCGAAUUUCGGAUCUAAAAAAACCCUAGAAAUCCAAAUCAAUCGGUUCUUUGUGUUUUCACCCAGAUUUCAGCUAAUGAGUACGAAAUUGACAUCAAUCGGUUGCUCAUGACAAGAGCAAUCGAUUGAUGCUAAUUUUAACUCAUUGCAUGACCAUCAGAUUUAGGACAAAGUACUACUAUUAUUUCAGAACUCGAUCGCCUCUUUUGGUUCGAAUAUCUUCAAAGCGGGUAGCCAUCUCUUCUUUAUUUUUUAUUUUUCCUUUAUUCCGGAGGAUUCAAGUUUGUUUAGUUUAAUUUCUAGGUUUCUGUCACGCCCAUUUGUUUAGGAAGAUUAAUAAUUGAAUACUUGAUUAGUUAAACUGGUUGUUGGUUUGAUUAGUUCAAUUAAAAGUAGGUUUAUUUAAGUUAGUAACCAUUUAUUUGAAUAUCAGCAUAUUUAGUUUAGGCUUUCAUUAUUAGCAAAAUCGUUGGAAGAUUAGUUGUUGGCUGAAUUUGAAGUUUAGAUAGUUUGUUGAUGUUUUGCAAUUGCACAUUUGUCUAAUUGACUGAUUGUAAUUAGUCCUUGCUUCAUGCUUAAUUUGUGCUCGAUAGUUUGGUUGUUUAAUUUAGCUUAAUUAGUUGUUGUUUGACUUCCUUAAAAAUAAAAAGGACAGUAGAUCUGGGAUAGAAGCACUAAUUGGUAUUAACUGAGACUCAAGGGGGCUUAAGGGCAUUGAAAAUAGGGCAUCUUGUCCAGUUUCUUUUUUUGGGAAGUUUAUAGAAGGGACUAAAGUGCAAUAGAAAACCAGAAAUUAGAUCAGCUUUCGGGUAGAAAGGGUGAACUUUCAGAAGUUAAAAAAAAAGUGAAAAUGAGAAAAAACUUCUAGAAAGGGACAACCAUCCAAAUCUGUUAGAAAAGAUGUGAAAUUAGAUAUAGAUGUCCAUUUUCUGGUACAAAAGAUGCCAUUUUCCUCAAUUUAAGGAAAGGCUGGCAGAUUCUUUUAUACCAGAUCUUCAUUUCCCUCAUAGGGCUCUCACAUAUUCUAUAUAAGUGGUGGGGGGGGGGGAGACAGAUUUUACACUAGACACACACGAAAAUACACUCUGAAAAUUGGCACUGUUUUCUUCAUUUUAGAGACUGUUUUAGACAGAAAUUGACUACAUUUUUUUUCAGAAAUUCCAUUCCUUUCCUUUUCAUUUUUGAGUAGAAAAACUUUCUGGGAUUCCAGCCUUAGAGUUUUAAAGAAAACAUAUAUAAAAAAUAAAAUAAAAAAGAAGAAGAAAGCUCCUUUUUUCAUCUUUUCUGGGAUCUGGAGUUGGUUUUCUUGGCUCUAUUUGCUGCUGGUUCUUUAUUUUUGGUUCUGCUGUAAACAGGUAUGUGCUACAUAACUGCAGUACCUAUUUAAGUAUAUGAACAAAGUUUGAGUGUCAAUAAAUGUGUUAGAAGCUUUCUAUGUAUGCUAAUUGCUUGCUUCAGCUACACGACUGCACUAAGUUCUUCUUUGAUUUAGUUUUUCUAUUCAAUAUUAAAUGUGUAGCUUAAACAAGAAUUGGUCUUACUUAGUUUCAUAUUGAUUAGAAGUGAUUCCCUGCUGAUGUACAUGUCAAAAUUGCUUAAAUGCUUUCUGGUUUUGUCAUAUGAAAUACUUGCCAAACAUGUAUUAAUUUAAGGUUGUCUUUGGUUUGAGGUCUCAAAGGAUUCAAGUUGGGAAUGGACUAUUGAGAUUUGGUGGUUGUGGUAAAGCUGAAUUUUGAUUUAUGAGUUACCCUGUUUAGUGGUCUAUAAUGCUUAAUGGCCCAUUUAAUCCUUCAUACUCUCAUGAAUAUCCAGCUUUAAUGUCUCAUGUGAUGUAAUUAUUUUGGACAAAACUGAUUCGAAUGCAGUAUGCACAUAGAUAUAUUGGUGUUUAUGUUUGAAAUGAAGAUUCACCUUCAGUUAGUCUUAGAUUAGAAAGCUUUGUAAUUUGUUCUUCAAAACAGUUAUUCUUUUCCCAUUCAUCCUAUUGUUGUAUGAUUUGUUGCAAGG
rnacentral:lncRNA from 1 species